rnacentral:tRNA from 1 species
GCCAGAGUAGCUCAAUGGUAGAGCAGGCGCUUUGUAAGCGUCAGGUUGUGGGUUCGAUCCCCACCUCUGGCUCCA